CCACCUCGUUAGCUAAUCAGUAAAAAGACCACUGAGCUCAAUGUGCAGAUUCUAGGCAAAGACAAGGGAAGUGUUUUCGGACCUUUGAAUUUCAGUGACUGGACAUUACAGUUUUGAAGAAAACCGAGCACUGCCAUCUUUUGUUGGAAGAGACUAACUGCAGCUUUCAAAUGUCAAUAGCUGGAUCAGUUCUGAUUUGGACGCACUACUUUCUGUUGGAAGGGUUGUUUACCACGUAGACAGAUGUUCUUUCUUACUAAACACAAGAAGGAAUAUUUUCUGUAUUUGGUGAACAUUUUCCGAGGGAAAAGACUUCAUACAGAUUGCCACCUGGAAGUUCAAGAUGUUGAAAAUGCUUAUGACAGAGGAAAAGGAGUGAAUAUGCCAGAUGAUGGAAGGAUCCUCAUUAAUUGUCAUCAAUGCUAUUUGUGCCUUCUACAAGCCCGAGGCUAAACAGAUCAGUAUCACUGGUGGCUUCGGCAAGUCCCUGAGUAACCUGCUCUGUGGACUUCCACUGGAAUUAGGAUCGGUACAUCCAAAGGCAUGUUACGUUCUGUAAAAUUCAAGGAAGCUUCAAGAUGCUGGCCUGCUGUGACACUUUAUAAAAUAACUCUCUGAAAACAUUUAGUCAAAUGUGCAGUGAAGUACAAGUCAGAACACAGCACUGCUGCUUGCAGUGUGACAGGCGUCAUAGUCUGCCAUAUUUAUUUCUCCAAAUCUCUAAAGAAUAAGAUGGCUUGUCCCAUUUACAGUUGUUGAUGUAAGUAGGGCACAAAUACUUAACAGUAUUUCCAUAUUAAGAAAGAUACCUCUUAACUUGCUAGGAAAAGAAAAAUGAUUUAACAAUAUAUGGAUGCAGAAUUCAGUCUAAUGUUUUCUUGCUCUUGAAUUCUGUUAUCUUGGGUUCAAGAGGACAAAUACAACCUCAAACAGACAAAUAUUGCUGAAAUGGAGAAAAUUCAGGGAUUUGUUGAGUUUGUUUUUAUAAAUAAAUAAAUUUACCAUUACAUGGUAGGGGGGAUGGAAAUGAAAUCAAGGGUCGAUUCCUACAGUUGUAAUCUGAAGUUCAGAACAUAUCUAAAAUGAACAUAUUUUGCCAGAGCAAAAAGAUGGCUAGUCAACCAACACAAAACCGCCAACAGAAUUACAGACUGGUGUUUGUGGCACUGUGAAGAGUAUUCUCUUCCUGUUUAAGAAAUAUUUAUAUACUUCAAAAUUAAACAAGUAUAACCUGACACAUUGAAAUAUCAUAAGUUUUCACUAGUUUAAGAAAAAAAAGCCACACCAAACAUUAAAAAUAAAUAUCACUUUAAUAUCAUUGCAGUGCUAUUAAAAAUCAGAGUAUAAAAUUUCAUGCUCAUAUCAUUGAAUAGUUUGGGUUGGAAAGGACCUUAAAGAUCAUCUAGUUCCAAUCCCCUGCCAUGUUGAACUUCUAUUUAACUAUACCCCCAAAUCCUUCUCCCCAGGGCUGCUCUCAGUCCAUUCUCCUCUCAGCCUGCAUUUGUGCUUGCAGAAGAUGACGAACAGGAACACAUAUUCUAUACCACCUUAAAAAUCUACUUGUCUCUUCUUAUAAAUUAUGCCAUUUUUCAUACCUGCAUACUUGUGAAGACCAUGGUGUGUUAGAGGUCUGUGUAAAUGUCACAUAUCAAUUUCCAAUCAUCUUCCUAUAUAGAAAAUGUACUUCUGUAAUAUUCUCUAAGAAACACAACUGUCUUUGGCUGUACACUGACAUUGUUAGCAAAGUCCUUUACGACAAUAGAGUACAUGCUGUAAUUUUCCCCAGAGCUGAAAACUCUUUCAAAUGAACAUGAGUCAGGCAGUACUUUCGGGAAUAAAGUCGCAAAGUUGUAAAUGCUGCUUACCAUCCCCAUGAAUGCUGCCUUUUGGAAGCAGUACAUCAAGUGUCAGACACAAUGUGAACUCUAGAUUGUUGGAGUACCUGUUAACAUAGCGAUAUUUUCAAAGUUAUCAUUGUCUUGCUAACUUUGAAGAGCAACAGCUAUUUAGGUUGGCAAAUGAAACAAGGGUUGCACAAACCAAACACAUGACAUUGAUUAUGACUUGCUGAAUGAUGUAAAUAUGGGUCCAGAUUCAAAGCUCAUUGGCACUUUUUGAUCCAGGAUAAUUUUAUAUGAAAUACUGAUUAUUCACAAUCUAACACCAGCCUGUUUAUUGGAGAAACACUAACAAUAACUAGCUUAGUUUUAAGCACUCUGGUGAUAGUUCUGAGAGAUCUUUUAAACUUAAAGACACAUGCUCAGCUUUUCUAUCUCCUACUAGGAGCCUGCCCUACUAGAAUUGUGUCCUCUGGAAGUCUAGCCAUGUGGUAGGGGUCAAUAUAAUUACUUUAGUAAUGAAAUACUUAUUAGAAGCAAGAGAAAGCACAAGGUGACACAAAAAGAAUCAAAUAAAUCUGAAUUCAACAUGAAUCAUUUACUUCUUUCUGCAAAUAUUACUACCUUUCUAGGAGAAGCUUUCUUCUUAUUGAUGAUGAUAUCGCUGCUGUUUAUUUCAUGCAGGCUUCACAAAGGUGUGUCUUGUAGGGGCAGGUGCUGUCUCAGAUUGCUGAUAGUUUUCCUAGUUUUUGUCAAUAUUGAACUUAAAAAAAAAAAAGUUGUACAUUAAUAUUUUCAGAAUUGUCAUGUUUCAAAUGAAUAUUCAGAGUAUUUCACUGUGUGACCAGAUUAAUAGUUCAUAGAAAUAAACUUGUUGAAGCAGCACUCUAUUUUCAUAGGCUGGGUGAAUAUAUGGAGUUGAUUUAUAACAAAUGUUCUAAGUAACUUUUUUUAAAGGGCUUGAGACAAAGCUGGGAUUUCCAAAGCUGCAUAUGGUUAAAGUAUUCAAAAUCUCUUGUCCUGUAUGUCCUUAUGCCUUACAUAGUAGUUCUAGUCUGUGUUUAAUGAAUGAUACACGAAGGGCUUUUAGGAAGUUGUGCUGUAGGGAAAGACUUUAUUCUGAGUCAUGAGCAGUGCUGAACUGUAGCCUCAUUAAUUUGAUUAAAAGCAUGGCUCAUUAUAGCCCAGCUGGUUAUGCAAUUUUUAAAUAAUACAUAGUUUUCCUGACAUCUCAUUAAUUGAAGUUAUUAUGCAUUUUAUAUAUUUUUAUGACUCUUUGAUCUAAACUGUUGUGUUAUCCUGCUGUUUACCAUCAUCAAAUUUGCCACUGGCCAUGCAUGUGCAACACCUGAAUGUUUGCCACAUAAUCCUUCUGAUGCUUACCAGAUAUUUAGUUGCGUUUUUGGCUUUUUGGUAUGGUUUGGAAUUAUGAAUCACUAGAAAGAUGAAUAUAUUGCAUCCAUUUUGAAAAAUAAUUAUA